rnacentral:rRNA from 1 species
AGAGUUUGAUCCUGGCUCAGAUUGAACGCUGGCGGCAGGCUUAACACAUGCAAGUCGAGCGGGGGAAGGUAGCUUGCUACUGGACCUAGCGGCGGACGGGUGAGUAAUGCUUAGGAAUCUGCCUAUUAGUGGGGGACAACAUCUCGAAAGGGAUGCUAAUACCGCAUACGUCCUACGGGAGAAAGCAGGGGAUCUUCGGACCUUGCGCUAAUAGAUGAGCCUAAGUCGGAUUAGCUAGUUGGUGGGGUAAAGGCCUACCAAGGCGACGAUCUGUAGCGGGUCUGAGAGGAUGAUCCGCCACACUGGGACUGAGACACGGCCCAGACUCCUACGGGAGGCAGCAGUGGGGAAUAUUGGACAAUGGGCGCAAGCCUGAUCCAGCCAUGCCGCGUGUGUGAAGAAGGCCUUAUGGUUGUAAAGCACUUUAAGCGAGGAGGGGGCUACUUUAGAUAAUACCUAGAGAUAGUGGACGUUACUCGCAGAAUAAGCACCGGCUAACUCUGUGCCAGCAGCCGCGGUAAUACAGAGGGUGCAAGCGUUAAUCGGAUUUACUGGGCGUAAAGCGCGCGUAGGCGGCUAAUUAAGUCAAAUGUGAAAUCCCCGAGCUUAACUUGGGAAUUGCAUUCGAUACUGGUUAGCUAGAGUGUGGGAGAGGAUGGUAGAAUUCCAGGUGUAGCGGUGAAAUGCGUAGAGAUCUGGAGGAAUACCGAUGGCGAAGGCAGCCAUCUGGCCUAACACUGACGCUGAGGUGCGAAAGCAUGGGGAGCAAACAGGAUUAGAUACCCUGGUAGUCCAUGCCGUAAACGAUGUCUACUAGCCGUUGGGGCCUUUGAGGCUUUAGUGGCGCAGCUAACGCGAUAAGUAGACCGCCUGGGGAGUACGGUCGCAAGACUAAAACUCAAAUGAAUUGACGGGGGCCCGCACAAGCGGUGGAGCAUGUGGUUUAAUUCGAUGCAACGCGAAGAACCUUACCUGGGCCUUGACAUAGUAAGAACUUUCCAGAGAUGGAUUGGUGCCUUCGGGAACUUACAUACAGGUGCUGCAUGGCUGUCGUCAGCUCGUGUCGUGAGAUGUUGGGUUAAGUCCCGCAACGAGCGCAACCCUUUUCCUUAUUUGCCAGCGAGUAAUGUCGGGAACUUUAAGGAUACUGCCAGUGACAAACUGGAGGAAGGCGGGGACGACGUCAAGUCAUCAUGGCCCUUACGGCCAGGGCUACACACGUGCUACAAUGGUCGGUACAAAGGGUUGCUACACAGCGAUGUGAUGCUAAUCUCAAAAAGCCGAUCGUAGUCCGGAUUGGAGUCUGCAACUCGACUCCAUGAAGUCGGAAUCGCUAGUAAUCGCGGAUCAGAAUGCCGCGGUGAAUACGUUCCCGGGCCUUGUACACACCGCCCGUCACACCAUGGGAGUUUGUUGCACCAGAAGUAGCUAGCCUAACUGCAAAGAGGGCGGUUACCGCGGUGUGGCCGAUGGCUGGGGUGAAGUCGUAACAAGGUAACC